CAGUUAAAAAGCUCGUAGUUGGAUUUCUGGCGGGGACCCAAGUACCCCUGGUGGGUGUGCUCGGGCCCGGCCAUCCUUCUGUAAACUUUCGCGCGUCCUUCACCGGUCGGCAAAGGGAUCAGAUAAUUUACCUUGAGAAAAUUAAAGUGUUUCAGGCAGGCUUAGCCGGAAUACAUUAGCAUGGAAUAAUGGAAUAGGACUGAGGUCUCGUUGUUGGUUACGCGGACUACAGUAAUGAUUAAUAGGGACAGUUGGGGGCAUUAGUAUUUAUUAGCUAGAGGUGGAAUUCUCUAAUUUGAUAAAGACUAGCUUAUGCGAAAGCAUUUGCCAAGGAUGUUUUCAUUAAUCAAGAACGAAAGUUAGGGGAUCAAAGACGAUCAGAUACCGUCCUAGUCUUAACCAUAAACUAUGCCGACUCGGGAUCGGGAGCGUGUGUUAUCCGCUUUCGGCACCGUAUGAGAAAUCAAAGUCUCUGGGUUCUGGGGGGAGUAUGGUCGCAAAGGCUGAAAACUUAAAGGAAUUGACGGAAAGGGCACCACCAGGCGUGGAGCU
rnacentral:rRNA from 1 species